GAUGAACGCUGGCGGCGUGCCUAAUACAUGCAAGUCGAGCGAACAGACGAGGAGCUUGCUCCUCUGACGUUAGCGGCGGACGGGUGAGUAACACGUGGAUAACCUACCUAUAAGACUGGGAUAACUUCGGGAAACCGGAGCUAAUACCGGAUAAUAUAUUGAACCGCAUGGUUCAAUAGUGAAAGACGGUUUUGCUGUCACUUAUAGAUGGAUCCGCGCCGCAUUAGCUAGUUGGUAAGGUAACGGCUUACCAAGGCAACGAUGCGUAGCCGACCUGAGAGGCUGAUCGGCCACACGGGAACUGAGGCACGGUCCAGACUCCUACGGGAGGCAGCAGUAGGGAAUCUGCCGCAAUGGGCGAAAGCCUGACGGAGCAACGCCGCGUGGGUGAUGAAGGUCUUCGGAUCGUAAAGCUCUGUUAUUAGGGAAGAACAAAUGUGUAAGUAACUAUGCACGUCUUGACGGUACCUGAUCAGAAAGCCACGGCUAACUACGUG
rnacentral:rRNA from 1 species